rnacentral:rRNA from 1 species
UUCAAAGACAAAAAUACUCUAAAGUCACCAAAUUCUGUUUGAUCUUGGAAGCUAAACAGGGUGAUUCCCUGUUAGUACUUGGAAGUGAUGAAUACCAGGUGUUGUAGGCA